rnacentral:miRNA from 2 species
UUUGUGCGUGGAUCAGACGCC